AUGAACGCUGGCGGCGUGCCUAAUACAUGCAAGUCGAGCGAACAGGCGAGGAGCUUGCUCCUCUGACGUUAGCGGCGGACGGGUGAGUAACACGUGGAUAACCUACCUAUAAGACUGGGAUAACUUCGGGAAACCGGAGCUAAUACCGGAUAAUAUAUUGAACCGCAUGGUUCAAUAGUGAAAGACGGUUUUGCUGUCACUUAUAGAUGGAUCCGCGCCGCAUUAGCUAGUUGGUAAGGUAACGGCUUACCAAGGCAACGAUGCGUAGCCGACCUGAGAGGGUGAUCGGCCACACUGGAACUGAGACACGGUCCAGACUCCUACGGGAGGCAGCAGUAGGGAAUCUUCCGCAAUGGGCGAAAGCUUGACGGAGCAACGCCGCGUGAGUGAUGAAGGUCUUCGGAUCGUAAAACUCUGUUAUUAGGGAAGAACAAAUGUGUAAGUAACUAUGCACGUCUUGACGGUACCUAAUCAGAAAGCCACGGCUAACUACGUG
rnacentral:rRNA from 1 species